rnacentral:misc_RNA from 1 species
GAUGAAGAACGCAGCGAAAUGCGAUAAGUAAUGUGAAUUGCAGAAUUCAGUGAAUCAUCGAAUCUUUGAACGCACAUUGCGCCCGCCAGUAUUCUGGCGGGCAUGCCUGUUCGAGCGUCAUUUCAACCAUCAAGCCCUGCUUGCGUUGGGGUCCUGCGGCUGCCCGCAGGCCCUGAAAACCAGUGGCGGGCUCGCUAGUCACACCGAGCGCAGUAAUACAUCUCGCUUUGGGCGUGCGGCGGGUUCUUGCCGUUAAACACCCCCUUUUUACCAAGGUUGACCUCGGAUCAGGUAGGAAUACCCGCUGAACUUAAGCACAUCAAUAAGCGGAGGA